GGAAAUGAGUCUGACCUAUUCUUAUCAAAGGGGAUAACCACUGGUUACCCAGGUUCCGCUUCAAUUGGUGGCAAGCGGUGGUAUACCUUGUGCCUGCCAACAGACCCAUGGACUACAGUGCUCUAAAGCAACCUACAAUGCCGAAUUUGUGUGGAGCCAGAGGAAUAACGCCUGGUGGGCGUAACAAGGCUGAAUUGACUGCUGCGCUCAUGGAGGACGACCAGGCAUGCAGU